rnacentral:rRNA from 1 species
AAUGAACGUUGGCGGCAUGGAUUAGGCAUGCAAGUCGAGCGAGAAGUGUAGCAAUACACGGAAAGCGGCGGAAGGGAGAGUAAUACGUGGGAAUCUGCCCUUAGACCUGGGAUAGCAGCGGGAAACUGCUGGUAAUACCAGAUAAUGUCUAUGGACCAAAGGUGUGAUUCCGUCUAGGGAUGAGCCCACGUCCUAUUAGCUAGUUGGUAGGGUAAUGGCCUACCAAGGCGAUGAUGGGUAGCGGGUGUGAGAGCAUGAGCCGCCGCACGGGGACUGAGACACUACCCAGACACCUACGGGUGGCUGCAGUCGAGAAUCUUCGGCAAUGGGCGCAAGCCUGACCGAGCGAUGCCGCGUGCGGGAUGAAGGCCUUCGGGUUGUAAACCGCUGUCGAGGGGGAGCAACUUCCAUAGAGUUAUCUUUAUGGAUUGAGUGAUCCCUGGAGGAAGGACGGGCUAAGUUCGUGCCAGCAGCCGCGGUAAAAC